CCGCUCCGAAUUGUAGUCUAGAAAGGCGCCAUCGGCCGCGUCCGUCGCUUAAGUUCCUUGGAAUAGGAGAGACGGAGAAGGUGAGAUCCCUGUACCGUGACGGAUCGCGGCCGCACGAUGCGUUUUUGCAGAGUCGGGUUGCUUGGGAUUGCAGCUUGAAUUGGGUGGUAAAUUCCAUCUAAAGCUAAAUACUGGCUCAUGACCGAUAGCGAACAAGUACCGUGAGGGAAAGAUGCAAAGAACUUUGAAAAGAGAGUUAAAGAGUGCUUGAAAUCGGCGAGAGGAAACCCGUUUGUGCCCGGUGUCGCUGACAUUUUAUCCGUUUCGAAGCGGUGUACUGUGGAAGCGGGGUCCUGCGCGACUGCGUGCGUCUCAUAAUCACAAGGGGGGCUUCGGCGAGCCUUGACAUGCGCGCAUGUGGUCCCGUAGGACGGAACGGGCACAACCGACCCGUCUAGAAACACGGACCAAGGAGUCUGACACGGAUGCGAGUACACGGGUGUUUAAGCCUGCGUGCGCAAUGAAAGUGAAGGGCGUGCCCCGCCAACCGACCUUGAUCUUCUGUGAAGGGUUUGAGUCGAGCAUCACUGUCGGGACCCGAAAGAUGGUGAACUAUGCCUGAAUAGGUUGAAGUCUGCCGAAAGGCAGAUGGAGGGCCGUAGCGAUACUGACGUGCAAAUCGUUCGUCGAAUUUGGGUAUAGGGGCGAAAGACUAAUCGAACUAUCUAGUAGCUGGUUCCCUCCGAAAUUUCCCUCAGGAUAGCUGCAAUCGACUCUCAGUUUUUGU
rnacentral:rRNA from 1 species